GUACAAACUCUGCCAUCAUAUCCAAGACAUUGCAUUGUGAGGACUGUUGCCCUGGGAACACUGAGCGCAUUCUCGAAAAUUCCAAAUUUGUGCCACUUCCAUACGAAGACAGCCCAGAAUAAUUGGGCUCCAUCAACCAUCCCGGGUAAAGUCGGUCUGUCCUGAUUGCACUACUUGCUAAUUGAUGACGUCUAGAAGCCAUAGCUGCUUCCCUGGCAGCCCUCACAAAUAAACUGAUACCAGGAAUUAACAUACAGUAGAUGGUGAUGGUGGUGGUGACAAGGGUGCCUUCACAAGGUGCCAUGUCACAAUCUCAGUGUGGAGCCAAAGGCUGCUAUUGCAAGUCAGAUGGGGGACGAUCGAUGUAAGGCAUCAGAAAGGUGGUGUACGUACAAAGGCUGGAGCUGCUGGAGACAGUGUUGCACUUAGAUACUUGAUUUACUGCCGAAGGUACCAUCAGAGCACCACCCUACCCCUGCAGGACCAGAAGAGGACGGACAGGGGGCCAACAUUUUU